rnacentral:tRNA from 1 species
GGGAAUGUGGCUUAGUGGUAGAGUAUUUGCCUACCAUGUAUAAAGCCUGGGUUUGAUUCCUCAGUACCA